UUUGACUGAGUGCUUUGUGUACAGUUUCUCACAGGACAGACCCCUGCACUGCAAAACCUUCUCCUAUACUGGAAUUUACACUGAACUCAUGACCUGCUCUUCAAUUUUCCCAUCCACGGAUCCCCAGUUUCUCACGCUUCUACCCUCAGAAUCAUUUCGGAGACAUUGCUCCCCUCCUUCAUGAAUAAUUCACUCUCCUUUGUUAUAACAAAUGUACAUCGAAAACCCUACUAAGUGCCUGAGAUACGAAGUUAAAUAAAAGAACAAUCCUACCUUCCAGAGACUCAGAGUGUGGUGUGAAAGAAAGACACAUAUGCAAGUGACGACAACACAAGUUGGACUAAGAUCAGCUCCGGCGUAGACAUACAGAAUGAAAUGCCUGAGGAGUAGAGUUUCAACAGGCAGAAUGUGAGGGGAAGCAUUCGAAGCAACUGUGACAACAUGAGCACCAGCACAACGUGAGAGACGGGCGAGCAUAUUCAGGGAAACGAAAGCGAUCUGUGCACGGAGCAGCGCGUGGCGGGAUUCGGUCAGAGACGAGGCUGAUGCCUUCUGUCUAUCAGAGCACAGAACCCCAAAUGAACAGUUGUGAGCAUUCUCAAUUGUAACUGAAGAAGACCUGGAAUCUAAGCUGCUUGUUCAAGGUCAUUCUGCUCAUUAAAGGCAGAACUCAGAAUUCAAACCAGAUCAUCUCAUUCCCAGCUUAGCGCUUUUGCCAAAGGAUUCCACUAUUUAGAAGAAGGAAGUUGACACCGAAAUUUUAUGUAGCUUCAUUCAGGGGACUGUGGAGUGUUAAAAAAAAAAUGACAAGAAGAAGGAAGGAAAAGCAAAACCUGGCCACGUGCUUUAAGAUUCACCUUUGGGAGGAGGCAGAAAUUUAUUGUGAUCAUCUUGUCUGUUUCCAUGAAUUAGCAGCCGAUGUUUCUCAUUCCCACUUCCAUAGCAAAAUGGAAGAAAUGAGUUGUACCCAAAUUUUUCUGGAAUAAUGGCACAAAAUGAUUUGUUUUAAUA